rnacentral:lncRNA from 1 species
AUGCCAAGUUUUGGGGAUCGGCAUCCCAGCCCUGGGAAAGGACCAUGUCACCUGGGAAGGGCAGAUGCCACAGAGGAUGCUGAAAGCCAUCCUCUCUCCAUGUUCUCUCACUUCCCAAAUGGGCAGCUUCGUUGCCUGGAGGAGGCUGGAUCACCUGCUGGGGGGCAGUGCCAGGGAAGUUUUCAUUCAGAGGAGAAAAGAGGACUUGGUGAGAGUUGGAGGGAAAAGAGACUACCUAUAAGUGUCUGAAGAGCUGUCUUGUGGAAGAGGGACUAACUUGUCUAGGAGUUGUAGGUAAGAAUUUGCACAUAGGCCCAUUUC